AAAAUAUGUCUUUUGCUGAGAUGAUGACGGAUGAUGCUCAAACUUCUAGGGAAGAGAGAUGCUUCUGACUGUGGAUCAACUGUGUUGGAAUCGAUUCAUAUGUCAAUAAUCUGUGUGAGGAUGUCAGAACAGGAUGGGUUAUAUUGGAAGUUCUUGACAAAGUUUACCCAAGAUCAGUAACUGGAAGCAAGCAACGAAACCUCUCAUCAAGAUGCCUUUUAGAAAAGUUGAGAAUUGCAACCAAGUUAUUCAGAUUGGAAAGGAAUUGAACGUCUCCCUUGUGAAUGUAGCAGGAAACGAUAUUGUACAGGGAAACAAGAAGCUCAUACUAGGUUGCUGCUGGUUUAUUGUCUAUGCAUGUGAUGGAGAAACUAAAAAAUGGUGAUACAGGGAGUUUGUCUUGUCUCUUUAAUUGAGAGGAUUCGGAUCUUGUUGAAAAAUCACUUUACUAGCGAGAGCUGAAGAACAUGGGCAGAUGAUCGAAUCACUUCACACCUCUAUUGAUUUUGAUGACGUUCGGAAGCAUACUUGCAAAUGAAGAUCAACUGUU